rnacentral:rRNA from 1 species
UACAGGGGUCCCGAGCGUUGUUCGGAAUUACUGGGCGUAAAGCGCGCGUAGGCGGCUGACCAAGUCAGAGGUGAAAUGCCGGGGCUUAACCCUGGAACUGCCUUUGAAACUAGUCAGCUUGAGGUCUGGAGGGGAUGGCGGAAUUCCUAAUGUAGAGGUGAAAUUCGUAGAUAUUAGGAGGAACACCGGUGGCGAAGGCGGCCAUCUGGACAGACACUGACGCUGAGGCGCGAAAGCGUGGGGAUCAAACAGG